CCCUUAGAUGUUCUGGGCCGCACGCGCGCUACACUGAUGCAUUCAACGAGUCUAAAACCUGGUCUGAUAGGGCUGGGUAAUCUUUUGAAUGUGCAUCGUGAUUGGGAUAGAUGAUUGCAAUUCUUCAUCUUCAACGAGGAAUGCCUAGUAAACGCAAGUUAUCAGCUUGCAUUGAUUACGUCCCUGCCCUUUGUACACACCGCCCGUCGCUCCUACCGAUUGAAUGUUCCGAUGAAUACCAUGGACUGAGAGUAUGAAUGGGUUCGCCUAUUUCUGCUUCUCGGGAAGUGGAGUAAAUCUUAACAUUUAGAGGAAGGAGAAGUCGUAACA
rnacentral:rRNA from 1 species